GUGAAGUUUUAUUCUUGCUUUUUCGUUCAAUGUUUGUUUGUUCUAUAUGUAAGUUUGUGCAUGAGUUGAAUUGUAGUUCUAGAUGGGCUAUAAAGCGUAUGGUUUGAUUCUCAUUAGUUGUUAUUGGUUGUUCAAGUAUUCUUGUAUCUAGCAAUAUAUUUUAGUUUCGGUUAAAUUUUGUGCCAGCAGCCGCGGUUAUACCUUGGAAGCAUUUGAAUGUGUUUGGCAUUAGGUAGUUAGAUUAUUGUGAUUUGUUGAUUGUAUUUUGUUUGUUGUUAGGUGAAAUUUUUAUUGUUUUGGUUUCAUUGUUUUUAUUUGGAGGCUAUGAAGCUCUUUUUGUAAACUAGGAUUAGAUACCCUAUUAUUUUAGAGUGUUAAUUGGUAUGUGCCUGAGUAGUAUUAGUUAUGUUCUUGAAACUUAAAGAAUUUGGCGGUAUCUCAUUCCGUCCAGAGGAAUCUGUCUCGUUAUCGAUAGUCCACGUUGGACCUUACUUAGUUGCUUUGGUUUGUAUACCGCCGUUUAUUGAUUAUCUUUUUAGGGUUUGUUUAAUUUUCUGGUUUCUUUAUUUUGAUUUAUUUCAGGUCAAGGUGCAGCUUGUUUCUAAGUGAAUGAUGGAUUACAUUGUUUAAUUUGUUUAUGGAUUAUUGAUUUUAAUAUUGGUAUGAAAUUGGAUUUGGUUGUAAUGAUUUGUAGACUGUUAUUAUGAUAAGUGGUUCUGGGAUAUGUACACAUCGCCCGUCGCUCUCGUUUUGUUGUUAAUGAGAUAAGUCGUAACAAAGUGGCUGUACCGGAAGGUGCAGCUGGAUUGAG
rnacentral:ncRNA from 1 species